rnacentral:misc_RNA from 1 species
GAUGAAGAACGUAGCGAAAUGCGAUACUUGGUGUGAAUUGCAGAAUCCCGUGAACCAUGGAGUCUUUGAACGCAAGUUGCGCCUCAAGCCAUUAGGUUGAGGGCACGUCUGCCUGGGCGUCACAUAUCGUUGCCUGAUGCCAGUUUCCUCGUGAUGGGUGACUGUGCAGGGCGAAUGAUGGCUUCCCGUGAGCAUUGUUGCCUCAUGGUUGGUUGAAAAUUGAGUCCUUGGUAGGGAGCGCCGUGAUAGAUGGUGGUUGAGUGACGAACGAGACCCAAUCAUGUGAGACCCCUACCGAAUUUGGCCUUCAUGACCCACAUGCGUCUUUGGAACGCUCAUGACGAGACCUCAGGUCAGGCGGGGCUACCCGCUGAGUUUAAGCAUAUCAAUAAGCGGAGGA